ACCGUGAAAUUGCAGUUGAUACUGUAUGUCUUGAGUGUACAAGAGGUGGGCGGAAUUCGUGGUGUAGCGGUGAAAUGCUUAGAUAUCACGAAGAACUCCAAUUGCGAAGGCAGCUCACUGGGGUACAACUGACACUGAGGCUCGAAAGUGUGGGUAUCAAACAGGAUUAGAUACCCUGGUAGUCCACACAGUAAACGAUGAAUACUCGCUGUUUGCGAUAUACAGUAAGCGGCCAAGCGAAAGCAUUAAGUAUUCCACCUGGGGAGUACGCCGGCAACGGUGAAACUCAAAGGAAUUGACGGGGGCCCGCACAAGCGGAGGAACAUGUGGUUUAAUUCGAUGAUACGCGAGGAACCUUACCCGGGCUUGAAUUGCAGAGGAAUAUAGUUGAAAGAUUAUCGCCGCAAGGUCUCUGUGAAGGUGCUGCAUGGUUGUCGUCAGCUCGUGCCGUGAGGUGUCGGCUUAAGUGCCAUAACGAGCGCAACCCUUAUCAUUAGUUACUAACAGGUCAUGCUGAGGACUCUAGUGAGACUGCCGUCGUAAGAUGUGAGGAAGGUGGGGAUGACGUCAAAUCAGCACGGCCCUUACGUCCGGGGCUACACACGUGUUACAAUGGGGGGUACAGAGGGCAGCUACCGGGCGACCGGAUGCCAAUCCCAAAAACCUCUCUCAGUUCGGAUCGAAGUCUGCAACCCGACUUCGUGAAGCUGGAUUCGCUAGUAAUCGCGCAUCAGCCACGGCGCGGUGAAUACGUUCCCGGGCCUUGUACACACCGCCCGUCAAGCCAUGGGAGCCGGGGGUACCUGAAGUACGUAACCGCAAGGAGCGUCCUAGGGUAAAACUGGUGACUGGGGCUAAGUCGUAACAAGGUAACCG
rnacentral:rRNA from 1 species